rnacentral:tRNA from 1 species
GAAGAUUUAGUUAAAAUAUAACAUUAGAGUGUCAAUCUAAAAUUAUCAUAAUUUGAUACUCUUCU